UCCUCGAAUUGAAACACCACAAACCAAAUGCUUUGGCAGCCAAAUACGCUCCCCGAUCACAGCUUCCUACGUGACACCCAGAUCGCGAUGGGAAUCGAGUCUCCUUGUGCCGCUGUUAGUCCAUCCGUGCCAUCGUCAGUGCCCAUUAAUCACGCAGCGAACUUGUGAUGACUCACAGAGAACCGGAAAAAUAAAUGUAGCCUCUCCUUGUGUGAACGCUAAUAAUCAAACCGCGCAAUAAAGGAAUGCAGAAGGAUGAGCGUGCAAUCUGGCGUCAGGACUUCUGAUUUAUGGCCGCGGCCCUGGGCUCCCAAACACCUCACCACCUGCCUGCACAUCCACGCGGCUGAAGACAAGCGAUAACGGAUUGGAGGCGGAAGCGCCUUUGGAGAACAGCGCCGUGACAGAUAGGCAGCUCUGGGCGUCGCAUCGCACGGUGAUCGUCUGGGCUGCCUCAGACUCUGUGAGUCUGCAGGGAACUGCCAUUUGGAAUACCGUCCUUUGAACGGAAGAAGAGCAUCACUGGGAGGCGCAGAUGGAACAUUACAGAGAAGAUGAUUGAUGUCUGUGAUUUACAGCGAAAUAAUGUGGAAGAGGGAAAAGCGACUGAGGAUGCAGAUGCAAUGUGACGAAAAAGCUCGGCAGCUGUUCUUGAGCAGAAAGGGGGAUGGAGAUGAACCAUGGGACGGGACCCACUGCAAGAGAUUCAUCACCCUGGCCUCUUUCGCCUGUGAAUCCUGCUACGUCCACACAUACCAGCAUCCUAAUAUCCUGGAAUGGCUUCCAGAGAGGAUAUUAAUUAAAGCAACCAUACAAACAGACUCACAUCUCUGGGUCUUCGCCACUGUAUUUCUGGAGGUGACGAGGAUGCUAGAAAAGAGGACUGGAGAAGACCUGCUGGAUUUUUCAGCUUUACCUUUGAUUCUGGUCCUGUGCUUGGCCAUACGACCUUGAGCAAAUCAGCCUUCCUUUAAUUUCUAUAAAUUUAAAAUUAGUUCUUUGCUCAGGACAGAAAGAACCUAGAAACCGCCUCGAAGAAGGAGACACCAGCACCCCAAAGUCUGCCAACGCACACAGUCUCAGUGACAUUUACCUUUUAGUGAUGGCAUUCUUAGCAGCCCUUCAUGAUAAAAUGGAUAGCACUUGGGAUGGAACCAGGGACUUGAGCAGGCUA